GACGAACGCUGGCGGCGUGCUUAACACAUGCAAGUCGAACGGAAAGGCCCUGCUUUUGUGGGGUGCUCGAGUGGCGAAAGGGUGAGUAACACGUGAGUAACCUGCCCUUUACUUUGGGAUAACUUCAGUAAACUGGGGCUAAUACCCGAUAUGAGCUCCUUCUGCAUGGUUGGGGUUGGAAAGUUUCGGCGUUUGGGGAUGGACUCGCGGCUUAUCAGCUUGUUGGUGGGGUAGUGGCUUACCAAGGCUUUGACGGGUAGCCGGCCUGAGAGGGUGACCGGCCACAUUGGGACUGAGAUACGGCCCAGACGGAUACGGGAGGAAGCAGUGGGGAAUAUUGCAAAAUGGGCGGAAGCCGGAUGCAGCAACGCCGCGUGCGAGAUGACGGCCUUCGGGUUGUAAACCGCUUUCGCCUGUGACGAAGCGUGAGUGACGGUAAUGGGUAAAGAAGCACCGGCUAACUACGUG
rnacentral:rRNA from 1 species